rnacentral:rRNA from 1 species
CCUACGGGGGACAGCAGUAGGGAAUCUUUCACAAUGGGCGAAAGCCUGAUGGAGCAACGCCGCGUGCAGGAUGAAGGCCUUCGGGUUGUAAACUGCUUUUAUAAGCGAGAAAUAUGAUGGUAACUUAUGAAUCAGGAUCGGCUAACUACGUGCCAGCAGCCGCGGUCAUACGUAGGAUCCGAGCAUUAUCCGGAGUGACUGGGUGUAAAGAGUUGCGUAGGUGGCAUAAUAAGUAGCUAGUGAAAUCUGGUGGCUCAACCAUUCAGACUAUUAGCUAAACUGUUAAGCUCGAGACCGUUAGGGGUAACUGGAAUUUCUAGUGUAGGAGUGAAAUCCGUAGAUAUUAGAAGGAACACCAAUAGCGUAGGCAGGUUGCUGGGACGGGUCUGACACUAAGGCACGAAAGCGUAGGGAGCAAACGGGAUUAGAUACCCUGGUAGUC